rnacentral:rRNA from 1 species
UUAACACAUGCAAGUCGAGCGCCCCGCAAGGGGAGCGGCAGACGGGUGAGUAACGCGUGGGAAUCUACCCAUCUCUACGGAAUAACCCAGGGAAACUUGGACUAAUACCGUAUACGUCCUUCGGGAGAAAGAUUUAUCGGAGAUGGAUGAGCCCGCGUUGGAUUAGCUAGUUGGUGGGGUAAAGGCCUACCAAGGCGACGAUCCAUAGCUGGUCUGAGAGGAUGAUCAGCCACACUGGGACUGAGACACGGCCCAGACUCCUACGGGAGGCAGCAGUGGGGAAUAUUGGACAAUGGGCGCAAGCCUGAUCCAGCCAUGCCGCGUGAGUGAUGAAGGCCCUAGGGUUGUAAAGCUCUUUCACCGGUGAAGAUAAUGACGGUAACCGGAGAAGAAGCCCCGGCUAACUUCGUGCCAGCAGCCGCGGUAAUACGAAGGGGGCUAGCGUUGUUCGGAAUUACUGGGCGUAAAGCGCACGUAGGCGGACUAUUAAGUCAGGGGUGAAAUCCCGGGGCUCAACCCCGGAACUGCCUUUGAUACUGGUAGUCUAGAGUCCGGAAGAGGUGAGUGGAAUUCCGAGUGUAGAGGUGAAAUUCGUAGAUAUUCGGAGGAACACCAGUGGCGAA